GACGAAGGGGCUAGCGUUGUUCGGAAUUACUGGGCGUAAAGCGCGUGUAGGCGGUUGUUCAAGUCGGGUGUGAAAGCCUUGAGCUCAACUCAAGAAAUGCACUCGAUACUGGAUGACUAGAGGACCGGAGAGGAUAGUGGAAUUCCCAAGUGUAGUGGUGAAAUACGUAGAGAUUGGGAAGAACACCAGUGGCGAAGGCGGCUAUCUGGACGGUUCUGACGCUAAGACGCGAAAGCGUGGGAGCAAACAGG
rnacentral:rRNA from 1 species